CCUACGGGUGGCAGCAGUAGGGAAUCUUCCAUAAUGGGCGCAAGCCUGAUGGAGCAACACCGCGUGAGUGAAGAAGGGUUUCGGCUCGUAAAGCUCUGUUGUUGGAGAAGAACGUGCGUGAGAGUAACUGUUCACGCAUUGACGGUAUCCAACCAGAAAGUCACGGCUAACUACGUGCCACCAGCCGCGGUAAUACGUAGGUGGCAUGCGUUAUCCGGUUUUAUUGGGCGUAAAGCGAGCGCAGGCGGUUGCUUAGGUCUGAUGGGAAAGCUUUCGGCUUAACCGAAGAAGGGCAUCGGAAACUGGGCGACUUGAGUGCAGAAGAGGACAGUGGAACUCCAUGUGUAGCGGGGGAAUGCGUAGAGAUAUGGAAGAACACCAGUGGCGAAGGCGGCUGUCUGGUCUGCAACUGACGCUGAGGCUCGAAAGCAUGGGUAGCGAACAGGAUUAGAUACCCUUGUAGUC
rnacentral:rRNA from 1 species